CCAGACUCCUACGGGAGGCAGCAGUGGGGAAUAUUGGGCAAUGGGCGCAAGCCUGACCCAGCAACGCCGCGUGAAGGAAGAAGGCUUUCGGGUUGUAAACUUCUUUUCUGGGGGACGAAGAAAGUGACGGUACCCCAGGAAUAAGCCACGGCUAACUACGUGCCAGCAGCCGCGGUAAUACGUAGGUGGCAAGCGUUAUCCGGAUUUAUUGGGUGUAAAGGGCGUGUAGGCGGGAAUGCAAGUCAGAUGUGAAAACUAUGGGCUCAACCCAUAGCCUGCAUUUGAAACUGUAUUUCUUGAGUGCUGGAGAGGCAAUCGGAAUUCCGUGUGUAGCGGCGAAAUGCGUAGAUAUACGGAGGAACACCGGCGGCGAAGGCGGCCUGCUGGGCCGUGACUGACGUUGAGGCUCGAGAGCGUGGGGAGCAAACAGGAUUAGAUACCCUAGUAU
rnacentral:rRNA from 1 species